AUCUUCCGCCCGGCCAUCGGGCCGCGGGCGCUCGGAACAGACCUGGGAGCUGGCGGGACCGUCCUCCCCCGCCACGCCCUCCCAUCGGGCUUUGGGCGCCGGACUCUGGCCACCGCUCGGCACCUGCCUCCGCCUCGCCUUGGGGUAUAGGAGUCCUGUACCGACCCCUGGCUUGCCCAGAGUACAGGUUCUCGCCCGGGCCAGAAGCAAACUGCGGCGAAAUCGAGACAACAGCACUCAGAGUCACUCUGUCACCCAGGCUGGAGUGCAGUGGCACCAUCACAGCUCCCUGCAGCCUUGACUUACAGGGCUCCAGUGAUCCUCCACCCUCAGCCUCCUGAGUAUCUGAGACCACAGGUGCAAGCCACCAUGCCCAGUUGUAGCAAGGAAACCAAAAGGUAUAAACAUUCACUGAUUGAAAAACAAUGUCAUAAAGUCAUCCCAGUAUCUGUGAGGAGUUGGUUCCAGGACCCCUGAGGACACCAAAAUCCUCAGAUGCUCAAGUCCCUGAUAAAAAAAUAAAAGCAGUGGUGCCCUCGGGUUCAAAAACCUGAACGGUGGUCUUCAGUUGUUCCCCAAGCUCCUCUAUCAGAGGCCCAGACACUCCAAGAGGCCGGGAAGAGGCAAGUGGCUUUCCCUGACUGGCAUCAGACUCCUGGAUGGCUGUGUUUCUGCAUACUCCACCAUCAACAAUCAGAAGGGCACUGCUUUCUUCAAGAAGGGGACCUUGCAAAGAACUGUCUCAGAUGGACUAUCUUUGAGUUCAUCUUGUUCUGAAUGCGAGUCUGAGUCUUCGUUUCCAGAUGACACAGUGCUGUCUGAGUCCUCUGAAUCACCUGCCUCAGAGCUGCAGCAAAGUUUCUGCUGCCCAGAAACUGAAUGGGCUGCUUGUAAUGCAGAUUCUUCCUCCUGGACAAGAAGUGCUGCUGCUUCUAGUUCUUCCAGUUCUAACCCCAACUGGGCCUUUGUAAGGGAGACUUCCUUUAAGGCUUCUGCAAGAGCUGCCAACGUUUUGGAUUUGAUUUUCUGAAUCCACACACAGUAGUCUGAGAUGUAGAGAUCAUUCAGUAUGUAUGCUGGGUCAUUUUCCUGAAAAAUUUUGUGAAUAUCCAGGAGACACUUUAAAACUGCACUUUUACCUAGUUGCAGUAUCUUUAUAGUCUCCCCGUAGGCCUUCAUCGCCAGUUUGAAAUGGCGAUAGAGCGGGUAACACAAUACCCUUCUUCCAAAAGACACCAUGAUAUCAUGAACAUUAGUCCAAGUCUCAAACCAGCAUAGUAUUGGACUCAGUUUCCUGAUAUUCCAUGCAGAUUCAACGUUCUUCUCUCCUUCAGUGACACGGGUUUCUUAGCAAUAUGCCAGAAGGAUAUCAAUCGAACUGUAGCACACUUGACGACAGGCUCUGUUGUCUAGCAGAUAAGAUUUAUUGACAAAUUCUUGUAGCUGAUAUUUCUCUUCAGAAAAAGACACUAAUGCAGCAUGAUUUUCUUGCUUCUGACUCUUUUCCAAAAAGGCCGUCGUUUUUUAAUAUUUGUCAGUCCACCAAGGAUUAUACUUCAAAAUCUGUUCAACUGCCUCAUCUUCAAAAAAGUCAGCUAGAUAAUGAUCAGGAUCAAACUUGGCCAGCUCAGCGGCCAGGUGCUUUUGUUUUCGUUCUGCUGCAGGGGUGAAAUCUGGAUCCUUAAUAGCAUCACUCAAUUCAUCCUGUAACUGCUGAAACACUCCUGAUCGUAAGUUUCCAAACCCAUAGUAGCAUGAGGAUUCAAAGCACUUUCUGUUACCUCUUCAUAGGGUGUCUGCUCAAUUUCCCAAUCAAACUCUUCAUCGUGAACUACUUCCUCAGGAAUUUCAGAAUCACCUAUUGCUUCCACAAGUGGUUUUGCUGUCCCGGAUUUUCCUGGUGCCAGAAGAGCAACACAUGUUCAGCCCCUCAAAAUGCUGGCCAGGGGUUUCUUUGGGCAGGUGAGUGGUAAAAAUUCCUUUAUCUGCAUCAUAGGACCCUUGCUCGCUUCCAUAUUCUACAAUUCUUCCAGGAGGGGUUAAUCUGAGAAAGUACGGCUUGGCAUAGUAGUCUAGGCCGACCCCUCGAAGUAGACGUUGAACUCGGAGGCCGGGGCCUAGGGCACGCGGAUGGCGAUGGUCAGGAAAUCCGGAUCCUGGCUGAGGCUGAACGCUGGGGUCAGCAUCGCGGCACCAGACGCAGGGGCCAGCGCGGCUGGCCCUCACUGCCGCGGUGGUCCCACCAAGCAACUCUCUCCAGUUUUACCUUUUUAAAAUAAAAGAUGUCUGGGCCGGGCGCAGUGGCUCACGCUUGUAAUCCCAGCACUUUGGGAAGCCGAGGCGGGUGGAUCCUGACCUGAGGUCAGGAGUUCGAGAUCAGCCCCGCCAACAUGGCGAAACUCCGUCUCUACUAAAAAUACAAACAUCAGCCGGGCGUGGUGGGGGGGGCCUGUAAUCCCCGCUACUCGGGAGGCUGAGGCAGGAGAAUCACUUGAACCCGGGAGGCAGAGGUUGCAAUGAGCCGAGAUCAUGCCACUGUACUCCAGCCUGGGCGACAGAGUGAGACUCUGUCUCAAAAAAAAAAAAAAAAAAAAAAAGUCUGUCUUCCAGGACACAGAAGCCUCCUAUACACACAUUUUGGCCCUUGAUUAUAUUAUGUCUUUUACAGUUCUUUGCAUGUUUCUUGCAGGUAAGUCUUGAUUCUUCAAUUACAUAUUAAAUUUCUAUCAAGGAUAUAUAUCUAGCUUUCAUCUUUCAGAGUACCUAGCAUAGGACUUGGCACCAAGUACCCAUAGUAAACAGUUAUUCAACCAUAAUGUAUGAUUUUCUUUUCUACUUUUCACUGGUAUGUUUUUGUUUAAAAAGGGUAAACCACCAGGGAUGGAAAUGUCCUUGCUAUGUUAUCCUUCUUCUCUAAUUAGCAACCACCCUUCACAAUCUGCCACAUUACAUUUAAAAAGGAUUUUCAAAUUAGACAUUUAUGCCUAGGCAUUAACCAGGGACUGAUGAAUCAGUGCCAUCAGCAGAACACUGCCCUGACUGGCAGACAUGGCGCCAUUGUCAAGACUUGUAAUUUACUCCUGGCUUUUCAAAUAGUCAGUGUGUAACUCCAGGCAAGGUUUAAUUAUCUCCUGUUAAAAUGGGAAUAAUAUAACCCACCCCCACUUUGCUUCCCAUGGGUAUCAUGAGAAUUAAUUAGUUAUUGAAUAAGAAUAUAUGUCUAUAAAAUAUUUUAUAGUUCAUUAGAGGUAAACAUAAAUGCAAACGUAAGAUAUUGUUCAAUGUAUUAUGAAUGUUCAUUGUUGCUGUAUUUAGUACAAAGUACAUGUAUUAUAUCAACAGUGGUAGUACACAAAAUAAUGAAUACAUGUUGGGUCAGCACCUCCUCCAAUUACCACUUGCAAACAAGUCCUGGAUGGCCAGAACUAAUUGGAAGGUUGAGACAAAAAUUAUAUCUCGCACACUAAAGAAGGGGAGAUUGAUAUAGUGCGCUCACCUAAAUUUCGUAGUGCCUGCAUGAACUCUUCAAAAGCUUCAAAUCUAGGCUAGGCUACAGGAAGAACAACAGCAACUGAAGACUGGCACCUUUUCUGGAACCUCAGCAGCACCUUCCUUGUUUUGUAAGAUUUCGAAGAAGCAUAUCAAAAUUCUUCCACCCAUUCCUUCACAGUAUAAUAGGAGAAAACAUCUAUCCUCCGUUGACACCUGGAAGAAUGAGAUUCCAACUCACUCCAGGACAUGGCCAGAAAAAUUCAACAAAAGAUUUGCUAAAUCCUCUGCACUAUUAUCUAGACCAGGAUUUCUCAACCUCAGCUCUGCGGACAUUUGGGCCAGAUAAUUCUUUGUUACCAGAGGCUGUCCUGUACAUCAUCAGGUGUUUAGCAGCAUUCCUGGCCUCAACCAAAUGGAUGCCAGUAGCACCUCCCCCACCCACUUGUGACAGCCAAAGAUAUCUCCAGACAUUGCCAAAUGUCCCCUGUUAUGGAGAAUCAUCCUCAGUUGAGAAUCACUGGUUUAGGCAAUGAUCAAAGUGGGGUAACUAAAUCAAAAGGCACUGCAAUCUUAAGUUGAUCAAGCAUCCUUCUUUGAAAUCACUCAGCACUUUCAUAUAUUGCAUUUAUAUCUUAGGUAUUCAUAUUCUAACAAUUCAGCCAAUGUUUUUUGAGUUCACAAUGGACAAGGUACAAGAUCAAGUAAGUAAUUCUGUGUAUCCAUAAAACAGAAAUGGAUAUGGUAUGUCCCAGUUCUCCACAGUAGGCAUUUAUGUUAUUCCCAUCCCAAUAUUUAGCCCUGAUCAGGGUUGUCAAACAUUGCAUGGGACAUACUUAUCCUAAAAAAUUAUUCAUUAUUUAUCUGAAAUUGAAAUUUAACUGGAUGUCCUAUGUGUGUGCAUGUGUAUGUUUGUUUGUUUGUUUGUUUCUUUUUCUAAAUCUGAUUACCCUACCCUGACAGACUCAAGGUUUUUUCCCUGUUCCACAAACUUUAUGACUUGACUUCAUUAAAAAUAAUAAAGAGGAGUAACUGCAAAGGCUUUAAAAAAUGCUGUUAGAAUGAGUAUCACAACUGAAUUUGAGGAUACAUUUUCUUUGAAAGAUGUUUAUUUUCCUACUGAAAAUGGUGGCAAACUCCUUAGAACUCAUUCAAAGCCUGAUGGGAUUCACUGCCUGAUUUAUUUAAAAACACUUCUGAUGCUCACAGACUAUUUAUCAUUUACACAGCAAAUGAUGUUCUUCUAGUAUUCUUGUUGGGUGAGUUAGCAUUGUGGAAGGACAUAGAGGAGAAUCAGACACAAACUUCUUAUAAUCUCAUAAACAGGAAGAAAGGGAGCAGAAGCAUAGACUGACUUUACUUUCGCUCAGCUUACCUUCCUAGUUCUCCAGGUAUGGUCCUCAGAAGAGGAAUAUGAUGUGACCUGGGAACUUGCUAGAAAUGCACAUCCUUGGGACCCACCCCAGACCUACUGAAUCAGAAACUCUGAGAGUGGGUCCUAGCAACCAGUGUUUUCACAGGCCUUCCAGGUGAUUCUUCCGCAUGUUCGAGUUUGAGAACAACUGCUUUAGAGCCCUGGUUCUUGACCCUGGCUACAGGGGAAAACACCUGGGGAGUUUUUAAAAUACUGAUGCAUGGGGUCCAUUCCAAGGGAGUCUGAUAUAAUUACUAUGGGGUGCAGCCCAGGCAUAAACAUUUUUUAAAAACUCCUCAACCAGAAUAACGGCUCUACAGAAAUUUUAUCAAAUGCCAAAGAAAGAGUUCCUUAUUUUGCAACUAUAGUGCUUUCUACUCUGGCCCUAAUCAACUUUCAUAAAGGCAGAAUGGACAGACAUUACGUGUUUUAAUUUGAAGACUACCAAAAGGCCGGCCAUUAAACUAGGUAUAUGGGCUCGUCCUCAAAUCCCUAAAUCUACUCCUUAGGACCUACUAUAGCCAGUGUCAUAUAAUAGAAAAGUCACUUAUUGUCCACCAGACUCUGCCCAAAUAUUUGAUAACCUCUUGGGGCCUCAUUUUCUCGUGUCUACACUGGGGAUGAUAUUAACUCUUCACAGGAUUUGGGGAAUUAUAAAGAAAGACCAUGUAGUAAAGGCAGGAAGAUCAAUAAUCAAUAAUCACAUCAGAACCUGAAGGGACUUUGUACCAUUGAAGUGAGGCAGAGGAGAGAGAAAUUUAGAAGGACAAAUUCACAAAUUUCAAUGUGUUUCUAUAAUAACUACUUAAAUUAUUUUCUCUUUGAAUUGCCUCACUUUUGUGUGUGUAUGUCCCCACUCCCACCUAUUCCAUUAUUUUCCUAUUUUCACUUGUACCUUGGCAACCCAUCUGUGGUUUUGGCCAAGCCGUUUUAAUGGCAUUGAACCUGGUAGUUUUUUUUAAAGAGUGUGGUAGUAGUUAUACAUGGCUCGAUAACUCCUGGGGCUACAACAAGGUUAAUGCGACAGUUUUUGUUGUUUAAAAAACAUGCUUGUCUGACAAGUCAAUCAUUUUAAGCCCCUUGUUCACUUCAGGAUGGUUGUUAAAGGCUUCUCUGUGAGCUAAAACUCUCGCUGUUAAGGGGCUGCCUGCCCUGACUGUAUGCAUUAAAUGGAACAGUUCUCUACAUGGUUUCUUACUACAGAUGCCUUGGGAUAUAUGGACACUGACAUUACCUGCUGCAACAGGUCCUCUCCCAGCGUACUGCUGAGACCUAAGGGCUUAAAUACUCACCAAACCAAGUGACCUUGGAGGGCUGGUCAUGGUGGGCAUCUGGGAGCUGGGAAAGAGCAUUGGAGAACUUCACAGGGAAACCUAGUAGGCAAAAAUGAAAGAACCCAUAAGGGCCAUUGGCAUGAGCCAUAGCUAAAGGCCACUGGGUUAGCUCUCAAAGAAAACUGCAAGAUUGAAGCAUAAAUUCCUUCAUCAUGAACCAGAAGUCAUGGAGUGGAGCCAGGGGCAAGAAAGAGAAAGAUGAAGAGGUAGAACCACCAGGAUAAAGGUGCCAAGAAAAACAGUGAGAGCAACACUCAGGGAACCAGAGACAGGAACACAGCUGGGAACUAGGAGGAGAAACCACCACAGCUGGAGUGCAAAGUGGCCAGGCCAGAAAAGCCUCAUGGAAUCCUGGUUAACUGAAUGUUUCUAUUGACUGAGGCCACUGCUUAAGCCCUGUAUUCUUUUUUAUUUCAAUCCCCAUGGUUAGAAAAAUAGUCCUAAAAUGGGUUCAUACCCUUUCCUAUCCUGCAAGAUCUUAAACAUCACUAUGUUUUCCUGCAGUAGUUAAAAGCAUGGGCUUUGGAAUCAGAAACUGGGCACAUAUCUGAGCCCUGCUACUUAUUAGCUGUGUAACAUUGGUCAAAUGAGUAAACUUCCUGGAGCCUCAGUUUCCUUGCCUGUAAAAUGUGAGUAACAAUACCAACUUAUUUUCAGGUUGUGAGCAUUUCUCCAUAAUAAUCCACAUAAAGCACUUACCAGAGCCCUUGGCAUACUGUGUGAGCAUGUAAUAAUGUUAGCUGUCAUUCCAAGACAACAUGUUGGAAUAAUCUACUUUUUCCAUCACUAUAUAUCUCAUUUUCCUUCUUUUUCUUCUCCCUCAAACCUGUCCCCAUUCCAACAGAUGUUUUGGCCUGUGUUCCUAGCCUCCAGUGACAGCAGAAAGCCUGUUAGAUUUCCUGCCUUUGUUUCCCAAAAUUUGAUCCCCAAGAAACUGGGACAAGAUAUUUUCCUGAGACAAGAUAUCUCAGGAAGGGGAAUGAGUGGAGCUUCUUUUCACCCCACACUAGAAAGCCAUUCUGUUUAGAAAAAGGAGAGGGAAGGGAAAGAAAAGGGUGCUAUACCAGUUUUCCAGUAUCACCGUCAGGGAGAAAGCAAGGCCGGAGAGUAUCUGGGCAGAUGUAACUAUAAGCAGCCUAAUAAAGGUUCCCAAGUCCAAACCAUGAAUCCGAACAGCAGAGCUGCCAGACAUGAAAGGCCUUGCUGCCCUUCCACCCCACAAUACUUCACCUCUGGAAGCCUUGACAAUUCCAGGGAGUAUUUGCAAAACCCUGCCCCCACCCAAAAUUUUUUAAAUACUGCAUAUGAGUGAGUAAAAUGAUGCCGAGAUUUUUAAAAGGACAAGCUUACCAUCAGAUAGGUAGAAUGAGUAGUAGUGGCAGCGGUGGUGGUAGUGAUAUAGAGAUAAAAGAGUUAAGUGGAGUUACUGAAAUGUGUAGUUAUAUUUCUCACACUCUGGUGUUUGUGGAUUUGUGGGCUGAGAUUCUUAUCAAAUUCCAGAACUUGCAAUGUCUAAAGGUAAUUGUUUAAAAUAUUAAUUGUUUUACUCACACUGCAAAUGUUGAUAUAGAUGCUGGGGUGGAGGUGGGGCAAUAGGCCAGAAUAAGCCCAAGAAUACCUUGGAAUUUGCUGAAUUUCUUUCUUUUUGCAUACUCUUAUUCACACAUUAACAUAAUAUGAACCACUCUGGCUCCAUGAGCAGCACAAAAGAGACUUUCUGCAAAUGUGAUUAUUAGGUCAAAAGUUAGGAGAUUUUUUGCCCCCAGCUUUUCUCCUCUCCUAAAAUCUUUUUUUUUUUUUCAUUUCUUUGUCAGUGUCUUUAAUUUUUUUAGCUGCAUUUAAAAGGCUUUCUAUUAUUUCUGCAUGAGUAAGAGCAUGUGUCAUGUCAGCCUCCUUGUCAGCUUCUGUUUCACUUUCAUUAAAUUUGUUGAUUGAGUGUGAAGAAGGAGGCACUGUCAUCAUUUCCAGAUUUCAUAGCUGUAGGUUAGAUCUCUCUCGGAGCAAUGCCAUGAUUACUGCUGCAAUUUUGUAAUGGAGCCCUGGAGAGACAGGGAUGAAACCAGGGAAGGCUCCUUAUCCCUUUUGUGGGUUCAGGGAGGCAGAAAGAGAGGGGAGGAGGAUGUUUCUGUUUCACCUCUAUUCAUUCAUUCAUUCAUUUGCUUCACAAAUAUUGAGCACCUCCUGAGUGACAGACACUGAUUUGGGUGCUGGAAAGCAUGAGCAGCCCUGGUGCCUGUCCUCACAGAGCCUAUGGUCUGCUGGUGAGAUGGAUUUAAUCAGAUAAACACACUAAUGAAUGUAUAGUUGCACCAACAGAUCCUCAUUUAAUUGAGCUGGACUAGGACCUAGGCAUCAGUAUUUUUUUUAUAAGCUUCAUAGGUAACUCUGCUAGGCCUGGGAAUCACUGGGCUAGACCAUGCAAGUUCUAAUCAUAUAGGCUCUACUCAAGCAUUAAGCAUUUUGAUUUUAUCUUUCAAGCUGUGGUGAAAAUGUUACUGAAGAGAGGUGAUAUAGUAAGAUGUUCAGGGUUUUUAAAAUUAAGCUUUUUUAUUUUGAAAUAAUUAUAGACUCAUAUGCAGUUGUAAGAAAUAAUACAGGGGAAUCCCAUGUAUCCUUUAUCCAGUUUCCCCAAUGGUAACAUCUUGCAAAACUAUGGUACAAUAUCACAACCAGGAUAUUGACCUUGGUGCAGUCAAGAUAAAGCACUUUCAACACCACAUGAAUCCCUCCUGUUGUCCUUGGAUAGCCCUCCCCACUUUACUCCUGGUGACCACUAAUAUGUUCUCCAUUUCUAUAAUCUUGUCUUUUCAACAGUUAUAUAAGUGGAAUCAUAUAGUAUAGAACCUCAUGGGAUUGGCUGUUUUCUCUCAGCAUCAUUUUCUGGACAUUCAUUCAGGUUGUUUCACGUGUCAAUAGUUUGUUCCUUUUUAGAGGGCUGACUAGCGGUGUUCCAUGUAUAGGGGUGCCACAGUUUGUUUAACCAUUCACAUGUUGAAGGACAUCUGGGUCGGCUCCAAUGUUCAGAGAUUUUAAAUAGAGCUGCUAUACACAUUUGUGUAUAGGUUUUUGUGUGAACAUGAAGUCUUUGUUUCUCUGGGAUACAUGCCCAAGUGUGCAAUUGCUGAGUUAUAUGAUAGUUGCAUGUAGAAACUAUCAUGCAUAAAGAAACUGUCAAACUAUUUCCAGAGUAUCUGCACCAUUUUACAUUCUCAACAGUAAUGUACCAGUGAUCCAGUUUCUCCUCAUUCUCAUCAGAAUUUAAUGUUGCCACUGUUUUUUAUUUCAGCCAUUCUGAUAGGUAUGUGGUAAUUGCUUGUUGUAGUUUGCUUUGAGUUUCUCUAAUGGCCAACGAUGCUGAACAUCUUUUCAUGUGCUUAGUUGCCAUCUGUAUAUUACCUUUGGUGAAGUGUCUCUUCAUGUCUUUGGCCUAUUUUCUAAUUGGAUUAUUAGCCUUAAUGUUGAGUUUUGAGAGUUUACUUUUAUAUUCCAAAUACUAGUCCCUUUUGUCAAAUAUGGGGUUUGCAAUUUUUUUCCCACUCUCCAAUUUGUUUUUUAUCCUGUUUACAGGGUCUUUCACAGAGCAAAGUUUUUUAAUUGUGAUGCAGUCUAAUUUAUCAGCUUUUCCUUUUAUGGACCAUAUUUUUGGUGUCAAGUCUAAGUCGUCUUUGCUGAGUCCUACAUCAUGAAGAUUUUUUCGUACUAAAAUUUGAUAGUUUUAAAUGUUCUCUAUUUAAGUCCGUGAGUUAUUUUGAGUUAAUUUUUGCAUAAGGUAUAAAUCUUAGGUUGAGGCUCACUUUUUAAUCUUAAGGAUUGCUCAGCAUCAUUUAUUGAAAAGGCUAUCUUCCCUCCAUUGAAUUUCUUUUGUACCUGUGUCAAAACAUCAGUUGCAUAUAUUUGUGUGUAUCAAUUUCUGGGCCUUCUGUUCUGUUCAGUGGAUCUAUGUGUCUAUUCCUCUGCCAAUACCAUAUAGUUUUGACUAUAGUAGCUGUAUAAUAAGUCUUGAAACCCUUGAAACCAGGUAAGACUGGUCCCUUUCAUAUUAGUCUUCCUUUUCAAAAUUGUUUUAGCUAUUCUAGUUCCUUUGCUUUUCUAUAUACAUUGUAGAAUAGUGUUGUCUAUAUCUAUUUUUAAAACUUGCUGGAAUUUUUUUUUAAGAGACAGAGUCUUGCACCGUUGGCCAGGUUGGAGUACAGGGGUAUGAUCAUAGCUCACUACAGCACCAAACUCCUGGGCUCUAGCAAUCUUCCUGCCUCAGUCUCCCAAGUAGCUAGAACUACAUGCAACUGCCACUACAAUCGUAUUUAAAAGUAAAGUUAAAAAAAAUUUUUUUGAGAUAAGAUCUCACUCUGUUGACUAGUCUGGUCUUGAACACCUAGCCUCAAGCAAUCCUCUUGCCUCCCAAAGCACUGGAAUUGCAAGAGUGAGCUACCAGGCCCAACCAGUAUGUUAUGUGUGCAGUUUUUUGUAGAUAUUAUUUAUUAUGUUGAGGAAAUUCCCCUCUAUUGCCAUUUUUCUGAUAGUUUUUAAGAUCAUUCAUGGGUGUUGAAGUUUGUCAGAGUCUUUCUGUAUCCAUUGAUUGUUAUGAUCAAGAAUUUUUUCUUUAGCCUGUUAAUACGAUGUAUUAAAUAGCUUCAUUUUCAACUACUGAGCCAGCCUGAAAUAAACCUCGCUUGGUCAUGAUAUAUUAUUAUAUAUGCUGCUGAAUUCUAUUUUCUCUUUUACUGGUCUUUUGGCUGGAGAGAGUAGGCUUUUGUUGGGGCUUUACUUGUACGUGCACAUUGUUAUUUCUGGGUUGUCAGCCUCCUUCUCUCCAAGUCUGGGAUAUAUGGGACAAAAACAUAAUCCAGGGAGCCCACCACCUUGUUAGACUUUGAGUCCCUAGAUCCCUAGGUGGUCUGGCUUCUUUUUUUCACCUUUGAAAAUCUUAUGUUUGUUUUAUACAUAAUGUUGAGAGUUUUUCGUUGUUCUUAGUGGCAGAAGUAUAGAAAGAUACUCCAUCUUCUCAAAAAUAGAAGUUCAGAUUAUGUUUUGAAAGGCACUGGAGGCAGGCCAGGGAAGGCUUGUAAAAGGCUACUGCACUGGUCCAGGUGAGGGGAGUUAGUCUGGUAGAAGGCUGUUUCUUCCACCAUUCUUCCCUCACAUUCCACUGCCCCAUUUGCAUGGAGCUGGGGUUCUACUACCCCAGUAGGGCAGCAAGAGAGAAGGAGCAGGCAAUCUCUUGGAGCAUUACACCAUGAUAAAGGGACACCAAUACCCUCCAGAUGCUAGCUGUUUCUUUCUAGAGCUUUUAAACAUCCUCCUUCAGCAGAAGAAAUAAGUCACUCCUGAAAGCAUCCUAACAAUGUGCAUUUCUCCAAAGUUUCCUUAACACUUCACAUUUAACAUGACUCCAGGUAUAAGCAACAUUAAACAAGUCAUAUCUUAUGUUACAACUUGAGUGAAACUUUAAUGAUGCUGAAUUUGCUAAUUUGCUCCGGUAUAAUGUAUUUCCUGUUUAUAAUCCCUUUUGGCUAAUAGCACUAAUCAACAGAAAACACUGACAGACUGCACAAUGGCAAUAGUAAUUCUGGACAGAGAUAGUUUUAUUAUCUACAGAUGAAUCCAUGUUUCUAAAACAUUAUUUACUAUAAUGUAAAAUAUGGGUUGGGUGUGGUGGCUCACACCUGUAAUCUCAGCACUUUGGGAGGCUGAGGCGGGCAGAUCACCUGAGGUCAGCAGUUCAAGCCUAGCCUGGCCAACAUGGUGAAACCCCAUCUCUACUAAAAAUACAAAAAUUAGCCAAGUGCAGUGGUGCAUGGUUGUAAUCCCAGCUACUUGGGAGGCUGAGGUAGAAGGAUUGCUUGAACCUGGGAGGCAGAGGUUGCAGUGAGCCGAGAUCAUACCACUGCACUCCAACCUGGGCAACAGAAGGAGACUCUAUCUCAAAAAAUAAAAAUAAAAAUAAAAAUAAAAUGUAGUAGAUAAAGGUCAUAAUUUCUAUGCACCAAAGCUUUUAUAGGAGGCCUGUAUUUUAGCAAUCAACCUGUCCUUAUUCUGUUCAAAUUCAAGGGCACUUGAGUCACUUUAGAUGGUGUCACCUACAUUGGGAAGCAAUCACAGUAUAGAUAUUUUUUCUUAUUAUGUUUGCAAAAUAAACUUCACAAAAUUGUCUA
rnacentral:antisense_RNA from 1 species